rnacentral:rRNA from 1 species
AGAGUUUGAUCAUGGCUCAGAUUGAACGCUGGCGGAAUGCUUUACACAUGCAAGUCGAACGGCAGCAUAGAGAGCUUGCUCUCUGAUGGCGAGUGGCGAACGGGUGAGUAAUAUAUCGGAACGUGCCUAGUAAUGGGGAAUAACUAGCUGAAAGGUUAGCUAAUGCCGCAUACGACCUACGGGUGAAAGCAGGGGAUCUUCGGACCUUGCGUUAUUAGAGCGGCCGAUAUCUGAUUAGCUUGUUGGUGGGGUAAUGGCCUACCAAGGCGACGAUCAGUAGCUGGUCUGAGAGGACGAUCAGCCACACUGGAACUGAGACACGGUCCAGACUCCUACGGGAGGCAGCAGUGGGGAAUUUUGGACAAUGGGGGCAACCCUGAUCCAGCCAUUCCGCGUGAGUGAAGAAGGCCUUCGGGUUGUAAAGCUCUUUCGCAAGAGAAGAAAACUUACUAUCUAAUAAAUAGUAAGUAUGACGGUAUCUUGACAAGAAGCACCGGCUAACUACGUGCCAGCAGCCGCGGUAAUACGUAGGGUGCAAGCGUUAAUCGGAAUUACUGGGCGUAAAGCGUGCGCAGGCAGUUUUAUAAGUCAGAUGUGAAAUCCCCGAGCUCAACUUGGGAACUGCGUUUGAAACUGUAAGACUAGAGUGUGUCAGAGGGGGGUAGAAUUCCAAGUGUAGCAGUGAAAUGCGUAGAGAUUUGGAGGAAUACCAAUGGCGAAGGCAGCCCCCUGGGAUAACACUGACGCUCAUGCACGAAAGCGUGGGGAGCAAACAGGAUUAGAUACCCUGGUAGUCCACGCCCUAAACGAUGUCUACUAGUUGUUGGUGGAGUAAAAUCCAUGAGUAACGCAGCUAACGCGUGAAGUAGACCGCCUGGGGAGUACGGUCGCAAGAUUAAAACUCAAAUGAAUUGACGGGGGCC